rnacentral:rRNA from 1 species
UACGAAGGGGGCUAGCGUUGCUCGGAAUCACUGGGCGUAAAGGGUGCGUAGGCGGGUCUUUAAGUCAGGGGUGAAAUCCUGGAGCUCAACUCCAGAACUGCCUUUGAUACUGAAGAUCUUGAGUUCGGGAGAGGUGAGUGGAACUGCGAGUGUAGAGGUAAAAUUCGUAGAUAUUCGCAAGAACACCAGUGGCGAAGGCGGCUCACUGGCCCGGUACUGACGCUGAGGUGCGAAAGCGUGGGGAGCAAACAGG